GGUGAGUAAUGUCUGGGAAACUGCCUGAUGGAGGGGGAUAACUACUGGAAACGGUAGCUAAUACCGCAUAACGUCGCAAGACCAAAGAGAGGGACCUUCGGGCCUCUUGCCAUCAGAUGUGCCCAGAUGGGAUUAGCUUGUUGGUGGGGUAACGGCUCACCAAGGCGACGAUCCCUAGCUGGUCUGAGAGGAUGACCAGCCACACUGGAACUGAGACACGGUCCAG
rnacentral:rRNA from 1 species